GGGAUUGUGGCUCAGUGGUAGAGUGCUUGCCUAGCAUGCAUGAGGCACAGGGUUCAAUCCUU
rnacentral:tRNA from 1 species